UACGUAGGUGGCAAGCGUUGUCCGGAUUUAUUGGGUUAAAGGGUGCGUAGGCGGUCUUUAAGUCAGUGCUGAAAUAUCCCGGCUUAACCGGGAGGUGGCAUUGAUACUGAAGGACUUGAGUAAAGUGAGGUUGGCGGAAUUGACGGUGUAGCGGUGAAAUGCUUAGAUAUCGUCAAGAACACCGAUAUGCAGACAGCUAACAGCUUAAC
rnacentral:rRNA from 1 species